rnacentral:tRNA from 1 species
GCCUGGGUGGCUCAGUCGGUUAAGUGUCUGACUUCAGCUCAGGUCAUGAUCUCGCAGUCUGUGAGUUCGAGUCCCGUGUCAGGCU